rnacentral:lncRNA from 1 species
CCUCUACUGUAUAUAACCUCUCUACUGUAUAUAGCCCCUCUACUGUAUAUAGCCUUGCUGCUGUACGUAGCCUCUCUACUGUAUAGAGCCCCUCUACUGUAUAUAGCCUCUCUACUGUAUAUAGCCUCUCUACUGUAUAUAGCCUCUCUACUGUAUAUAGCCUCUCUACUGUAUAUAGCCUCUCUACUGUAUAGAGCCCCUCUACUGUAUAUAGCCCCUCUACUGUAUAUAGCCUCUCUACUGUAUAUAACCUCUCUACUGUAUAUAACCUCUCUACUGUAUAUAGCCUCGCUGCUGUACGUAGCCUCUCUACUGUAUAGAGCCUCUCUACUGUAUAUAGCCUCUCUACUGUAUAUAGCCUCUCUACUGUAUAUAGCCUCACUGUAUAGAGCCCCUCUACUGUAUAUAGCCUCUCUACUGUAUAUAACCUCUCUACUGUAUAUAACCUCUCUACUGUAUAUAGCCUCGCUGCUGUACGUAGCCUCUCUACUGUAUAUAGCCCCUCUACUGUAUAUCACCUCUCUACUGUAUAUCACCUCUCUACUGUAUAUAGCCUCUCUACUGUAUAUAGCCUCUCUACUGUAUAUAGCCUCUCUACUGUAUAUAGCCUCUCUACUGUAUAGAGCCCCUCUACUGUAUAGAGCCCCUCUACUGUAUAUCACCUCUCUACUGUAUAUCACCUCUCUACUGUAUAUCACCUCUCUACUGUAUAUCACCUCUCUACUGUAUAUCACCUCUCUACUGUAUAUAACCUCUCUACUGUAUAUAGCCUCUCUACUGUAUAUAGCCUCUCUACCGUAUAGAGCCCCUCUACCGUAUAUAACCUCUCUACCGUAUAUAGCCUCUCUACCGUAUAGAGCCCCUCUACCGUAUAGAGCCCCUCUACCGUAUAGAGCCCCUCUACCGUAUAGAGCCCCUCUACCGUAUAGAGCCCCUCUACCGUAUAGAGCCCCUCUACCGUAUAGAGCCCCUCUACCGUAUAGAGCCCCUCUACUGUAUAGAGCCCCUCUACUGUAUGUAGCCUGUCUUUUUACUGUUGUUUUAUUUCUUUACCUACCUAUUGUUCACCUAAUACCUUUUUUUUUGCACUAUUGGUUAGAGCCUGUAAGUAAGCUACACCUGUUGUAUUCGGUAAAUAAACUUUGA